AAGACUAAGUUGUCACGUGAUAUUAGUAGGCACGGUACACCUACUUCUCGUUAACAUGUCGUUCAGAGGGUUCAAGAAGCAGAUUAACAAAGCGAACCAGUACUUUAGCGAGAAGAUCUUCAAUGCCGAGGCAACCAAGCUUGAUGAAGAGUUCAAGGAAUUAGAAACGAAAACUGACGCUACGGCUGUUGUGGUGGAGCACUUGCAGACCAAAACUAAAGAGUUUCUGCAUCCUAAUCCGGGCUUGCCGAGCCAAGGAAACAUGAGUUUCUAACGUAUAGUCUCAGAGUUUGGCAGCAGCAUAGUUUGAAACUGAUGAGCAUGAUUAUAGCCUAUGAUGAUGAUGAUG